rnacentral:rRNA from 1 species
UACGAAGGGGGGCUAGCGUUGUUCGGAAUUACUGGGCGUAAAGCGUGCGUAGGUGGUUCGUUAAGUCUGUCGUGAAAGCCCCGGGCUCAACCUGGGAAUGGCGAUGGAUACUGGCGGGCUAGAGUGCGGUAGAGGAGAGUGGAAUUCCCGGUGUAGCAGUGAAAUGCGUAGAGAUCGGGAGGAACACCAGUGGCGAAGGCGACUUCCUGGCCUGUUCUUGACGCUGAGGCGCGAAAGCUAGGGGAGCAAACGGG